rnacentral:rRNA from 1 species
GGGACGAACGCUGGCGGCGUGCUUAACACAUGCAAGUCGAGCGGUAAGGCCUUUCGGGGUACACGAGCGGCGAACGGGUGAGUAACACGUGGGUGAUCUGCCCUGCACUUCGGGAUAAGCCUGGGAAACUGGGUCUAAUACCGGAUAUGACCUCAGGUUGCAUGACUUGGGGUGGAAAGAUUUAUCGGUGCAGGAUGGGCCCGCGGCCUAUCAGCUUGUUGGUGGGGUAAUGGCCUACCAAGGCGACGACGGGUAGCCGACCUGAGAGGAUGACCAGCCACAUUGGGACUGAGACACGGCCCAAACUCCUACGGGAGGCAGCAGUGGGGAAUCUUGCGCAAUGGGCGAAAGCCUGACGCAGCCAUGCCGCGUGAAUGAUGAAGGUCUUAGGAUUGUAAAAUUCUUUCGACCGGGACGAUAAUGACGGUACCGGAGAAGAAGCCCGGCUAACUUCGUGCCAGCAGCCGC